rnacentral:tRNA from 1 species
GCCCUAGUAGCUCAGAGUUUAGAGCGCCGGUCUUGUAAUCCGGAGGCCGGAGGUUAAAUCCCUCCCUAGCGCU